UACGAAGGGAGCUAGCGUUGUUCGGAAUCACUGGGCGUAAAGCGCACGUAGGCGGAUCGAUCAGUCAGGGGUGAAAUCCCAGAGCUCAACUCUGGAACUGCCUUUGAUACUGUCGAUCUGGAGUAUGGAAGAGGUGAGUGGAAUUCCGAGUGUAGAGGUGAAAUUCGUAGAUAUUCGGAGGAACACCAGUGGCGAAGGCGGCUCACUGGUCCAUUACUGACGCUGAGGUGCGAAAGCGUGGGGAGCAAACAGG
rnacentral:rRNA from 1 species